ACGCUCCACCAGGUUGGAUGGGGAACAUCAGUGCACAGCCAUUUUCAGAUCUCUCCAGAGAUGUUCAAUGGGAUUCAGGUCUUGGCUUUGGCUGGGCUACUCAAGCACAUUCAGAGAGCUGUCCUGAGGCCACUCCUUUGAUAUCUGUGUGCUUAGGUCAGGGGGGGGCA